CUUGUGGCUCCUUGUUUUCUCUGGAUUGGAUUUCUGAAAGGUGGCACGCACCAUGCAAAAGAAUGACCGGUCCGGGGACGACAGUCAGCGAGACAGUAUAUGUUCCAGAUGAUUCUCCACCAAGACCAGGGGACUUCAGCCGUCGUCUGCACAAACUUGUCAGGACCCGGCCCCACAGAGCGGUGGCUGCUCAACUUCCGUCUCCCUGUGCUAGCCAACCACCACGACCCUGGGUCCUUACUGUAGAGGUCCUGGAGAGACAGAGACAAACUGCUCUCUCCUGGACAUUAAUGAGACUUUAAAAGUGAUGAAUGAAAACCUAAAACGUCCAGCCUAAAAUGAAUAAAGUAUUUGACCAAA